rnacentral:rRNA from 1 species
AACGAACGCUGGCGGCGUGCCUAACACAUGCAAGUCGAACGAGAAUGCAGGCUUCGGUCUGCUAGUAAAGUGGCGCACGGGUGAGUAACACGUGGAUAACGUACAUUGUAGUGGGGGAUAACCAGGUGAAAGCUUGGCUAAUACCGCAUGAGUCUGUCGGGACGCAGGUUUUGACAGGGAAAGUGAGCAAUCACGCUACGAGAUCGGUCCGCGGCCCAUUAGCUAGUUGGCGGGUAAUGGCCCACCAAGGCGACGAUGGGUAGCUGGUCUGAGAGGAUGAUCAGCCACACUGGAACUGAGACACGGUCCAGACUCCUACGGGAGGCAGCAGUGGGAAUUUUGCGCGAUGGGCGAAAGCCUGACGCAGCAACGCCGCGUGUGUGACGAAGGCCCUAGGGUUGUAAAGCACUGUGGGAGGGGAAGAAAAAACCGGAGUGUAUCCGGUCUUGACGGUACCCUGUUAGAAAGCACCGGCUAACUCCGUGCCA